rnacentral:rRNA from 1 species
GAUGAACGCUGGCGGCAUGCCUAACACAUGCAAGUCGAUCGGUAAGGCUCUUCGGAGUACACGAGAGGCGGACGGCUGAGUAACGCGUAGGAACACACCCUGCAGUGAGGGAUAAGACACCGAAAGGUGUUCUAAUACCGCAUACGGUCUUCGGAUUAAAGCAUUUAUGCGCUGAAGGAGUGGCCUGCGUCAUCUUAGAUAGUUGGUGAGGUAAUGGCUCACCAAGUCGAUGAUGUGUAGCUGGUCUGAGAGGAUGAUCAGCCAGACUGGAACUGAGACACGGUCCAGACUCCUAUGGGAGGCAGCAGUGAGGAAUAUUUCACAAUGAGCGAAAGCUUGAUGGAGCAAUGCCGCGUGCAGGAUGAAGGCCCUCGGGUUGUAAACUGCUUUUAUAAGAGAAGAUUAUGACGGUAACUUAUGAAUAAGGGACGGCUAACUACGUG